UACAGAGGUCUCGAGCGUUAGGCGGAAUCACUGGGCUUAAAGCGUGUGUAGGCGGGUCGUUAAGUGCCUUGUGAAAUCCCAUGGCUCAACCAUGGAACUGCUGGGCAUACUGGCGAUCUUGUGCCACCUAGGGGCGAGCGGAACAGAUGGUGGAGCGGUGAAAUGCGUAGAUAUCAUCUGGAACGCCAAUGGUGAAAACAGCUCGCUGGGGGUGUGCAGACGCUGGGACACGAAAGCCAGGGGAGCGAACGGG
rnacentral:rRNA from 1 species